UCGCCUGUUUUACAAAAACAUGUUUUUUUGUAUAAUAAUUUAAGAUUUGACCUGCCCACUGAUAAUAAAUUGAAGGGCCGCGGUAUUUUGACCGUGCAAAGGUAGCAUAAUCAUUAGUCCUUUAAUUGUGGACUGGAAUGAAUGGUUUGACGAGGUAUUUACUGUCUCAUUUUAAUAAUUUGAAUUUAACUUUUGAGUCAAAAGGCUUAAAUGAUUUUAUAGGACGAGAAGACCCUAUAGAGCUUAAUAAUUAUUAAUUAUAAUAUAUUUUUAGUUAAUUAUUUUUAUUAUAAUUUUAAUUAUUUUAUUGGGGUGAUAUAAAGAAUUAUAAAACUCUUUAUUUUUAAGAACAUUGAUUUAUGAUUAAUUGAUCCAUUAUUAAUGAUUAUAAGAUUAAGUUACCUUAGGGAUAACAGCGUUAUUUUUUUUGAGAGUUCUUAUCAACAGAAAAGAUUGCGACCUCGAUGUUGGAUUAAGGUAAAUAUUGGGUGUAGAAGUUCAAUAAAUGGGUCUGUUCGACCAUUAAAUCCUUACGUGAUCUGAUUCAGACCGG
rnacentral:rRNA from 1 species